rnacentral:tRNA from 1 species
GGGUGUAUAGCUCAGUGGUAGAGCAUUUGACUGCAACUCAAGUUGUGAUCCCA